rnacentral:rRNA from 1 species
CCUACGGGUGGCUGCAGUCGAGAAUCUUCGGCAAUGGGCGAAAGCCUGACCGAGCAAUGCCGCGUGCGGGAUGAAGGCCCUCGGGUUGUAAACCGCUGUCGUAGGGGAGAAAGGUCCGCUGAAGAAGCGGAUUUGAUCUAUCCUAGGAGGAAGUCGGGGCUAAGUUCGUGCCAGCAGCCGCGGUAACACGAACCCGACGAACGUUAUUCGGAAUUAUUGGGCUUAAAGGGUGCGUAGGCGGUGCGGUAAGUGAGGUGUGAAAUCCCUCGGCUCAACCGAGGAAUUGCGCUUCAUACUGCCGUGCUGGAGGGAGACAGGGGUAAGCGGAACUGAUGGUGGAGCGGUGAAAUGCGUUGAUAUCAUCAGGAACACCGGUGGCGAAAGCGGCUUACUGGGUCUUCUCUGACGCUGAGGCACGAAAGCUAGGGUAGCGAACGGGA